GCCUGAGUGGCUCAGUGGGUUGGGCAUCCAACUUUUGAUUUCGCUCAGGUCAUGAUGUUGGGGUUGUGGGAUCGAGCCCCACAUCAGGCU
rnacentral:tRNA from 1 species